AAAUAGGAGAAUAUAGGAUUUAAGGUAAAAGCCCUAAGUAGCUGCUCAUGUACCAGUACAUGCUCACUCCAUGUAUUUGUAUAUCUAUAUUCACAAA